rnacentral:rRNA from 1 species
AGAUUGAACGCUGGCGGCAUGCCUAACACAUGCAAGUCGAACGGGAGUAGCAAUACUCUAGUGGCGGACGGGUGAGGAAUACGUAGGAAUUUGCCCUUAAGUGGGGGAUAACCCGGGGAACCCGGAUUAAUACCGCAUGACCUCGAAAGAGCAAAGUGGGGGAUCGCAAGACCUCACGCUUUUGGAGAAGCCUACGUCGGAUUAGCUAGUUGGUGAGGUAAUGGCUCACCAAGGCGACGAUCCGUAACUGGUCGUAGAGAGGAUGAUCAGUCACGACCGGAACUGAGACACGGUCCGGACUCCGUACGGGAGCAGCAGUGGGAAU